rnacentral:snoRNA from 2 species
AAGCGCUCAUUUUCAAGCCGCACGCGGGCGUGUUGCUGGUGCCCCUGCGGUCGGGUGAUGCGCGAGAGCG